GCUUAGAGACGACGCCAUUUCGUGUCCAACUGUUUCAAGGUGAUACAAUCAGCCUGCAGAGCCGUUAACGGGAUCUUUACCUACUCAAGUAAAAACAGCGUUGACUUUUACUCAUUUUUAGUGUUAAGCUCCUGUUUUUGAAGCCACUUUUUUGAACGGCGGCAAAUC